rnacentral:rRNA from 1 species
GACGAACGCUGGCGGCGUGCUUAACACAUGCAAGUCGAACGGAAAGGCCCUGCUUUUGUGGGGUGCUCGAGUGGCGAACGGGUGAGUAACACGUGAGUAACCUGCCCUUGACUUUGGGAUAACUUCAGGAAACUGGGGCUAAUCCCGGAUAGGAGCUCCUGCUGCAUGGUGGGGGUUGGAAAGUUUCGGUGGUUGGGGAUGGACUCGCGGCUUAUCAGCUUGUUGGUGGGGUAGUGGCUUACCAAGGCUUUGACGGGUAGCCGGCCUGAGAGGGUGACCGGCCACAAUGGGACUGAGGUACGGCCCAGACUCCUACGUGAGGCAGCAGGGGGGAAUAUUGCACAAUGGGCGGAAGCCUGAUGCAGCAACGCCGCGUGCGGGAUGACGGCCUUCGGGUUGUAAACCGCUUUCGCCUGUGACGAAGCGGGAGUGACGGUAAUGAGUAAAGAAGCACCGGCUAACUACGUG